GAGACUGGGCUCAAACCCUGCAGUGACUCAAUCUGCUCCAGAAACCAGUCAGGACACGGUUGAUCCUGAAGUUGGUGUUUCCUACGCCUCCGUCAGCUACACCAAGAAGACCAACAGUAAAGCUCGGGUUCGGGUUGAAGAUGAUGUUGAUGGUGAAGGUGAUGCAGUGACCUACAGCACUGUGAAAGUUUCCCCCUCUUCUGCUGAAGCCUCCACUGAUCCCAGCAACAUCUAUGCUUCCAUCAACGACAAUCCCAACAAAUAAUAGACCACAGUGUUCAUAUCUUUACAUUGUGUUGUACAACAGAUUUACAGAGUUGCCUAUU